GAAACUACAAGUAAGCUUCAAGUGAAAUUGAUACAUUACCUUGUGCAUCUUCAUCGGUGAAAGAUACCACCCCUGGAUGGAGGAAAAGUACUUCCAGAGAAAAUGCCACAUCUACGUAUGAGACAGAUAAGGCAAGUGAAAAUGAUAUCACACUUCGGUACUUAGAAGUUUCGUGAUUACUCAAUGGCUUGGAUCUUGCAAGUCCCCAACCGAGGAGCUUCCCUCACUCGGGAACUUAGGGGACUGUUUGUACCAUACUUGACCAAUCCUGAAACUACUGAGCACCGGUCAACGUUAUACCGUCAAGGACCCAGAAGAGUUUCCCUCCAACCAGGAGGCCAAUCACAGCGCAACACGUGUCGACAUCAGAAGCCAAUCAUAGCGCAACACGUGUCAACAUCAUAAGCCAAUCACAACAUGACACGUGUCAAUAUCAGAAUGAAACUAGAAACUCUUUUCUAUAAAUAGAGAUCAUCUCUCACAAUAUUUCCUAAUGUCAUUUGUACUAAAUCAUUCACUAGUACUCACUAAAUGAGAGCUUGAACUUAUGUACUUGUGUAAACCCUUCACAAUUAAUGAGAACUCCUCUACU
rnacentral:lncRNA from 1 species